GAUGGUAUCUGAGCUCAGCGGCUUCCUUGCAGAUGUUUCAUGACCCAACUAGGGAACAUCGUCAGUGUCAGAAGGGAGUGGGGUAUAUGGAAGAGGAGGAG